UAUGUGACGCACACAACGUCAUUUCUUGAUAACCAAAAUGGAGGACUACUCAUCCAAGCAAUCAGUUGAAAAUCUUGACAAUCCUCCUAACAGUCGCUUGUUUCUCGUAACAAGUCGAUCAGUUUCAGAUGAUGUUAUUCGAGAGAAAUUUUCUGUAUUUGGAGAGGUCCAAGGUGUAUGGGUGGUUAAGGACAAACAGACGAAAGAAUCGAAGGGGAUCUCCUAUGUUAAAUUCGCGAAGUCUUCGGAAGCAUGCACCGCAAUGGAGGACAUGCAUGGAAAAUGCCUGUUAGACGGAACGAAGCCCAUUAAGGUGUUCAUUGCCCAGUCAAGGUCCUCUGGUAGACACAGAGAUGUGGAGGAUGAAGAGCUCACCAGAAUAUUUAUAAAGAUUCCCAAAACAUUCACAGAAGAAGAUCUGAAAGACACAUUCAAGGAGUAUGGGGACAUAGAAUACUGUGUGAUCAUAAAGAAUAAAACCACAGGGGAGAGCAAAGGCUUGGGAUAUGUGAGGUAUCAUAAGCCGUCACAAGCAGCCAUUGCCAUUGAGAACUGUGAUAGAGCCUACAGGGCUGUUCUUGCUGAGCCCCGAAGCAAGAACUCAUCUGCAGAUAAUGACUAUCACAGCAGUGGCAGAGCAGAGCACAUGUCGAGUGACCUGGGAAUGAACCCCUAUUCCUUUGGAGUGUCUGACCCUGGCAGUUAUGCCGUAACUGACUACCGAUCCAGUGACCUCAUCACCAGGUGCCUAAUGGUAUCCUCGAGAGCUAGUGUUACCCAGGAGCAGAUUUAUGGCCUCUUUGACCUCAUACCAGGGAUGGAUUACUGUGAGAUGCAGCGGGAUCAUUGUGGGCUCAACAAAGGACAUACUGUGAUUCGCUACAACAACCUGGGCUCUGCCCUCUACGCCAAAGAGAAGCUGAAUGGCUUUGAGUAUCCCCCUGGAAACCGCCUCAUUGUGGCCCACAUAGAGGAUGGAGAAGACAGGACCAGUCCUGUCGGGAAGAUGGCAAUGCAGCUGGUUGCUGCUCAGAUGAUGUCAAUGGUGUGGAAUGGUCCUACCACCAGCCAGCAACUGAUGAAGAUGAGCACAGGUUACCGCACUGCCUCUCCGAUGCCCCGUGUCCAGACAGAUGUAUCACUUCCCUCCCUGAAGAACCUGGCACCCCCAGAUAGCCGGGUUAAGGAGCGUCUCUUUGUGGUCUUCAGCCCUGCACCUCUUCCCAUGGACGUCCUGGAAGAUGUCUUCUGUCGAUUUGGUUCCCUUGUGGAGGUGCACCUCGUGCCUGGGAGGAACGUAGGCUACAUGAAGUAUGCAGAGAAAGAGAGUGCGGGCGACGCUAUGGCUGCUUUGCAUGGUAAAAUGGUGAACGGAGUGAGGAUGAAGGUGAUGCUGGCUGACCCGCCCAGGGAACCAAGGGAGGAGUCCCACAAGCGCCCGCGGACAUACUAGCCAAUUCCUAGGUAAAAGAGGUCCAUUGUCACUAAUAUGUGGUGUUGAAGUUUGUCUCUGCUCAGCUGACAGACAGGAGAUACAGGAAUCCAUUCUGUUCCAAAUUAUGCUGAUGCCCCAUUGUAAGAACCUGGAGAUCUUCACUGGUUCUGAGGGAGGUGAUGUUGCUACAAACAAUGCCUGGGACAGCUUCCAGCCCUACUGUUAUCUGGAGAACAGUCAGAGACUGGUCAAUACAUCUGCUACAACUCCAUCUUUAGUGUGUCAGCUCUGCUGCACCUGGGCACUAAAGAUUGAUCUGGCUUGCUGAUAACAUCUGAUCUGAUGAGACUCCCGAUGUGAUUUGACUCCUGUAUUAAUGACUUCAAUAAAACUUCCAAUGCCAAAUUGAGAUUGGUAUUCUGCAAUUGAUAGACAAUGGUAGUUCCCAGUCAGACAAUAACUAUAAAACAAAUGUUUUCCUCAGUGAAUGUGUUUUGCUCUCAGUCCUCCUUUUGAAUGUUGUGUGUACUGAUUCAGUUCUAAACAACUGUCAAAUCCAUCCUCACUUCCUCGAUCACUGCAACGGAGUGUCUGGUCUUCUGAGAGGGUCCUUGGCUGCCACCUGCCCUGCAUCGAGGUCCUGCAGGGCAAGGAAGCGUGCAGGAAAGAUCAUUGCCGACCCCUUCCAUCCCCUCUUCCAAAGACUCCCGUCUGGCAAAUGGUUAAGGUCAAUCACGACCAAAACCUCCCGCCACCUGAACAGUUUCUUCCCCAGCGCCGUGGCCCUCACCACCUGGUCCACAGAUCAUCCGCUCAUCCACAGACUAUGUACCUUGCACUAUCAUCCCAGAACUGCACAUUGUUCUUCGCAUCUCUUACAUGCAUCAUUUAUGUAGUGUAGCUUAUAGCGUAGUUUAACGUUUUUAGCUUAAUGUUCAUUGUAUGUACACUGGAUCUGCAUCUAUAUUUGGUCUGCCAGCACCAUUUCAGAGUCAAAUUCCUGUACAUGUAUUUGUCGAAUAAAGCUGAUUCUGACAUGUUAACCUGAGUUUAGAUGAUUUAGUAUUCAUGUCAGUUUACAUUCUAUUUGGGACUGGUUAUGCAUUGUAUGCAGAUUCUCUCCUUUGUGUCUUCAUAUUCAAAUUCCCCAUGUGCUGAGUGUCUCCCUUUGGGAUUAAUACCCUAAAUAUUGGAUCCUGCUUUCAAUUAGUGGACUUGUUUUAUGGUGUUUGCUAGAGCUGAUUGCUUUUCGUUUUACAGAUUGUUUUUGGCUAACCAGUAAUUAGCUGGCUAACUUUAGCAAGUAGAUUCCACUCAAGGUAUAGUAUAUCUAUGUAUUUAUUUUUAAUUCCUUCCUGUGUGUACCUAGUUGUUCGGGUGCUUACUAUUCAAGUCUGCUAACAAGCUAAACAGACGGCUCUGUAGUGCAUCUGUGCAAACGGAAGGCUCUUUAUAGCCAAUCACAACACGACUGGCCAAUGGCAGUAAUUUGAAUCACGGUUCUUUGUAUUGUAUGUAUUGUUUAAGGAUGCAAUGUGCAUAAAUUGUUCUGCAAUUU